rnacentral:rRNA from 1 species
UAGGGAAUCUUCGGCAAUGGGGGGAACCCUGACCGAGCAACGCCGCGUGAGUGAAGAAGGUUUUCGGAUCGUAAAGCUCUGUUGUUAAGGAAGAACGAGUGUGAGAAUGGAAAGUUCAUACUGUGACGGUACUUAACCAGAAAGGGACGGCUAACUACGUGCCAGCAGCCGCGGUAAUACGUAGGUCCCGAGCGUUGUCCGGAUUUAUUGGGCGUAAAGCGAGCGCAGGCGGUUAGAUAAGUCUGAAGUUAAAGGCAGUGGCUCAACCAUUGUAGGCUUUGGAAACUGUUUAACUUGAGUGCAGAAAGGGAGAGUGGAAUUCCAUGUGUAGCGGUGAAAUGCGUAGCUAUAUGGAGGAACACCGGUGGCGAAAGCGGCACUCUGGUCUGUAACUGACGCUGAGGCUCGAAAGCGUGGGGAGCGAACAGG